rnacentral:rRNA from 1 species
AUACGGAGGAUGCGAGCGUUAUCCGGAUUUAUUGGGUUUAAAGGGUGCGUAGGUGGCAGAUUAAGUCAGCGGUGAAAGUUUGUCGCUCAACGAUAAAAUUGCCGUUGAUACUGGUUUACUUGAGUAUAGUUGAAGUAGGCGGAAUGCGUGGUGUAGCGGUGAAAUGCAUAGAUAUCACGCAGAACUCCGAUUGCGAAGGCAGCUUACUAAGUUAUAACUGACACUGAAGCACGAAAGCGUGGGUAUCAAACAGGAUUAGAUACCCUGGUAGUCCACGCAGUAAACGAUGAUUACUAGCUGUUUGCGAUAUACAGUAAGUGGCGCAGCUAACGCAUUAAGUACUCCGCCUGGGAAGUACGAUCGCAAGAUUGAAACUUAAAGGAAUUGACGGGG